rnacentral:rRNA from 1 species
AAUGGGCGAAAGCCUGAUGCAGCGACGCCGCGUGAGGGAAGACGGCCUUCGGGUUGUAAACCUCUGUCUUUGGGGACGAUAAUGACGGUACCCAAGGAGGAAGCUCCGGCUAACUACGUGCCAGCAGCCGCGGUAAUACGUAGGGAGCGAGCGUUGUCCGGAAUUACUGGGUGUAAAGGGAGCGUAGGCGGGAGUGCAAGUUGGAUGUGAAAACCAUGGGCUCAACCCAUGGACUGCAUUCAAAACUGUAUUUCUUGAGUGAUGUAGAGGCAGGCGGAAUUCCUAGUGUAGCGGUGAAAUGCGUAGAUAUUAGGAGGAACACCAGUGGCGAAGGCGGCCUGCUGGGCAUUUACUGACGCUGAGGCUCGAAAGUGUGGGGAGCAAA